rnacentral:rRNA from 1 species
GACGAACGCUGGCGGCGUGCUUAACACAUGCAAGUCGAACGGAAAGGCCCUGCUUUUGUGGGGUGCUCGAGUGGCGAACGGGUGAGUAACACGUGAGUAACCUGCCCUUGACUUUGGGAUAACUUCAGGAAACUGGGGCUAAUACCGGAUAGGAGCUCCUGCUGCAUGGUGGGGGUUGGAAAGUUUCGGCGGUUGGGGAUGGACUCGCGGCUUAUCAGCUUGUUGGUGGGGUAGUGGCUUACCAAGGCUUUGACGGGUAGCCGGCCUGAGAGGGUGACCGGCCACAGUGGGACUGAGAUACGGCCCAGACUCCUACGGGAGGCAGCAGUGGGGAAUAUUGCACAGUGGGCGGAAGCCUGAUGCAGCAACGCCGCGUGCGGGAUGACGGCCUUCGGGUUGUAAACCGCUUUCGCCUGUGACGAAGCGUGAGUGACGGUAAUGGGUAAAGAAGCACCGGCUAACUACGUG